UUUUCUCCCUUUUCCUUUUUGUAAUCUUCUUAAGUCUCUUGGUUUUCUCAGUUUUUGCUAUAAUUUCAUCUUUUCGUUUGAAUUUGGACUUCAUUGUUAGUUUAGUAAAUCGUAUGUGGUGAUUUCUUUGCGUGGUUUAUCUAAAUUUUUCCCAAGAUAACUAUAAACCUGAAAAGUUUUAAAAACGGACCACAAAGUCGCCACAUUGCCACUGUUUUAUACUGUCCUGGUUGGUAUCUUUGUUCGAUGGACUAUGUUGGCCUCCCCUACAAAGAAAAGACUUCAUUAUUCUUGAUUUGAUAAUGGGAGUAGAGAGAUAAAGAGUGAGUUUAGAAAGGGAACUCACGAGAAAAUUAAAAUUUCUGAAGUGAUGGCAUAGGUUUGUUUAUUUCAAGGUUUCUGUGACCCUUUUGACGAUAUGCUUCCUGAACCAGCCGUUGCCCAUGCUGCUAGGGCUGGUGGGAAGUUUCAACCAAGGGCUAAAUCACAAGCAAGGAAGGUAACAUCCACAUCAUUUCCUUCUGUGCUUCCAAGCAAUGCCAGGGAAAAAUCUGUUUCAUCAUUCCCAACUACCUUUGACACAACAAAACCUGUUCAGUCUGUUCAUCCUGUGGAUGAUAGAGGUGGUUCUUUGGUUUCAUCAUCAGGAUUACCUGGGAGUGAAGAACACUUGGAAGACAAUGACAAUAACCUGAAAUGUGAACCAGUGAAAUCUUCAACCCAAACUGUUGAAAGAAGAGAGGAUCUAGCUUCUCCAGAUGCUCUGCCUUCAGAAUUUGUGGUGACUAAUAGCAACAAGAAUGGAGAUUCUAACCUCUUGAUAAGAGAGGCAGAUCCCUUGGGGCUUGAUUUGGACCCUUUUGCUGUCAUUUUUCCUAAUACUACUCUAAGUAAAGUGAGGGCUGGUGGCAAAUUUCAACCAAGGGGAAAGGCCUGGCCUAGGAAGGGAACAUCUGAGUUAAAUGCUUUUUCUGUUUCUGGUGCUACAGUGGGAGGGCAUGCUAGUGUAGUUUCCACGGUCUCAGAUAACCUGCAGUCUGCUAAAUUUAUUGAUGUUGGAGAUUGUAGAUUGAUGGAUUCAGUUUAUUCAUCUUUAACUACCUUGGAGAGCAUGGAAAGCAAAGAGGCGUUGAGAAAUGAUGACUGCACAAAUUCCGGAGUUCUAUUAUUCAAUGUUGAAAGAAGUUCAGGAUUAGCGAAUUCUUCCCAUUUAGUUGCCUCUGAUGCUCUGCAUUCACGUGUUAUUGACAGAGAUUCACAUUCUGGGUUGGGAAAAUCAACUGGAGAAAGUGCAGACAUAUUUUCAGGGUUGGAAUAUAUUCUUGAUUUUGUUACCCAGUCCCCAAGAAGUACAGAAGAACAUUCUAGAUUUCCAGCUUUAAUUUCUGUUAGUUCUUCACUACUCAGUGCAGGCAGUGAGGCAACUCAAAAUCCUGUAACUUGUAAUGAACCUGCUGUUCAGACUGAUAAUGGAAAGCUGAAGUCAGACUUUCAGGAACCAGGAUCCUUCCCGAACUUGGAAAGUCCAGGCAUUUUGCCUCCGUCUGCCAUUGCAUUGGAAUGCUGUACCAGAAAAAUCCAGCCAAAAACCGUGUUACAAAAUGGCCAAGAGAAACCUAGUACUAGCAUCCUUCCAGAUGCAGUGGAGUCUAUUGUGCCUCUAUCAAAUGCUCAAAUUGAUCCCUCUGAAACUGUGUACAUUGAUGAGGGCACAAUUCCUACCUUCCCAUCAGAGGAUGUUCUUGAUAAUUCAUCCAUGAGCUUUAGCAAUUUUAUUCCCACAGAUCCUACUACGUCUGAGUUUCCAAUGAAUGAAGAACAAAUAAACCUUGCUGAAGCUUCUUGCUCUGGUGACGUAAAUAUUUUGCACCAAGAAGAUGUACCUGGAGUGCCUGUAAAAGAGAGUUCUAAGGAUAGGAAAAGAAAGUCUGCUUCAGUAUCAAAUCUUGCUCAGAAUUCCAAACAAUAUUCUUUAGUUGGUGAGAUGAAUGAAAGUGGCAAAUCGGCAAGGCAGCUGAGGAAGCGGAUUGCUGCUCCACAACUUGUUGAUGGGCUGGAGGAUGAAGCUCAUGAUACUGAUGGCUUCCCUCCUGAAUCUCCUAGUAAUUCUAUUGCAGAUGAAGGACACAUUGAUUAUGACUAUGGAGUGGAUGAAGAUAGAGUGGAAAAUGCAUCUAGCAAUAAAAGAGCUUCAAAAAAGUCAAAAAAACCUUCGGCUGAACAGGAAAAGAAACCUGUUAGUAGAUGUAAGAGGGACAAUGGUGCACCAGAACAGUCAAAUCAACAGUCACACAAGAAGUUUUCUCAUUCCACUCGUCAGAAAAACAGAUUAAAAGAUUUGCUUAGCAUACCAGAGGAUGAAAUUGAUUUCCAGAAGAUGCCUCUCAAAGAUAUUAUUUUGCUUGCAGGGUACAAGGAGAAGUUAGCUGUAUGCACUCUGUUUACUAGCUCUUGUGAUGAUAUUUUUAAUGUAGUUGCUGUGGUUUGGUUUAUAAUAACAUUUUGUAUAGCAUUAUUCAUUUUAUGUUUGCGGAAUGCUACACACUGGCCAUUUCUGCUUGACCUUCAUUUCUUCUUUCUUGCUGAUUAAAGAGGCACAAGCUUCAAAGAAUGCCUCAACCAAUAAAAGGUAUGAAUUUAAUAGCAAGAGGCAUAUAUAGCUGACUUUUAUGUUCUUGAGCAAUUGCUGCAUGUGAAUUAACAUAUAUACAUGCACCAAUCUGGGUAUAAAUGAAAGCCACAGUUUCUUUGGCUUUAUGCACAGUUAACAUGAUAUAUUAAUAAUGAUGUAUAUCUAUCUUUUAUUACUCAAUAAUUUAUGAACUGCUUCUAGAAUCUAGAUAGCUAGUGGAACUGGAGGAAGGCCUUAUAGAGCUUUCAGAUCUCAAUACAGAUUCAUGUUUUGCAAGUGUCAGUAUCUUUCAGUUCUUGUCCCAUUCACCAACAAAAGAAGUAAAAGGAGGAAAACCCCUUCUACGAUAUAUGAAUGCAGUGUUGAGAUAUUAGCUUAUAUAUCUCAACAUCAACUUCAGGCACAAAAUUACUGUUGAUAAAGUGAUGAAAACUAAAAUAAAAAGAUGUACCUAAUAAAUGAUAAAGCAUGAUUCUUUUAGUUGAACUCUAGUUUUUAGUUCAGAAUUUUGGAUUUGAUUAAAAGAGGAAAGGAAAAUAAAUUGCCUUCUUUUUUCUUAUAUAUUUCCCCAUGGAUUGUGCACUUUUGUCAUCUUAUGACUUAUGUGGACAGAAAAGUGUUCCACCAAAGAAAUGCCUGUUUUCUGUGUAAUUGUACGUGUGGAUGGGAAAUAUACAGGUUAGGUUGGUUUUAUUUAUUUAUUUAUUUUUUCACAAAUCACCAGUAAACUAAUUUAGUUUUUAUGGAAGUUGAUCUGUGGAAUUUGAAGAAUUCAGUGCAUCAGACGAAACUGUUAUCUGUAAAAGUAUAUGCCUUUGUUGCCGGUAAUGUUCAUAAAUUUCUUCCAUCUAGUUAAGUCGUGUUUGGGACAGUGGGUGGUCUGCUUUUGGCACCUGCAAUUUUCUGCCCCAUGGUUCCUCCCAACCAUGUUCUUGGGAAAGCUUCAUUUUGAAGCUUUCUCAAAGCCAUGGUCCAGCAGCAGAAGGUUAAAAAGAAAUGAAAAAUAACAAAAAUAAGGCAAAAGCAUUUUGGGAGAAUCUAAUCAAACUGGUCCACCCUACAAAUGAGCCUUUAGUUUAGAAUAAGCGCUAACAAUUCUGUCCUUUGGGGAAGAUUCUCAUAAUAAAGAGGAUACCAUUACGUCAGAGCAAGAUGGAGGCUGCGCCGAAAAUCAAUCAAAUUCCUUAUUUAAUUACCAUUCUUUCAUGGAUAAAACACCAACU